UCAAGGUGUAGGUGGUAAAAUGGCGCACGGUGCAGGCUCUCAAAUGGUCCCGGUUGUGAGAAGAAAAAGAACAUUGGAAAGCAGUCCAGAUUUCUCUCGCACCAACU